rnacentral:rRNA from 1 species
UACGGAGGAUCCAAGCGUUAUCCGGAUUUAUUGGGUUUAAAGGGUGCGCAGGCGGGAGAUUAAGUCGGUGGUGAAAUUUUGCAGCUCAACUGUAAAAGUGCCGUUGAUACUGUGAGGCUAGGAUUUGGUUGCUGUGGGUGGAAUGUGUGGUGUAGCGGUGAAAUGCUUAGAGAUCACACAGAAUAUCGAUUGCGAAGGCAGCUCACAAAGCCAAGAUUGACGCUGAGGCACGAAAGUGUGGGGAUCAAACAGGA